UAAUUUCACCAAGUCUUCCAGUGCCAGCUUCAGUAUUGUCCUUUUCCCUGAAUGGAAAACUUGUGUUUUUCAUUUUGUUGCUGCUACAAACCCUCUGAACAGGAAGGUGGCAUCCGUGAGCAGAUGAAUAAAUUAAAUCAAGGAGGAGAGGGAAAUUAGGCAACAGCAACAACAAAAGAUAUUUUCUAAACAGAAUACUAUUUAUCCUAUUAAUGGCCCAGGCUGCCGGCCUUAGAGUCACACAGAGCUCUGCAGUGAAUACAAAAAACAAGCUCAGGAAUACAAACACAAGCAAGAGGACCUGCUUCGGAGGGAAGUGGGAGCUGUGCUUACAGUGCUGAGCAUUUCAGUUUUCAACACUGCUACAACCACAGCAAGGCAGACAGACUGGUGAUUUACCAUUGCUGAAGUUUUACUGUGAUUUUCAAGCUCAUGGCUGGACUGAAAUUUUCUCAAUAUGAAGAAUUACCAUCAAAUACUAUCUUCAAUUCUGUGGCAGAUUCAAUAAGAAAAAGAAAGCAGCAAGAAGCAGAUGCUGAGGAAUAAGCGGAUGAACACUCGAAGAAGGUAGCAUGUUUGCUUUAUUGAACAGCUAACAUGUUGGGUGCUGUGAUAAACACUUUGUAGAGUUCACAGAAUAUGGAACAUUUGCCGUAAUCUUUAGCUCGGCCUGGAGAAGAAAGAACUAUCGUUAUGGAAAAGAAAGGAAAACAUGUGAAAAAAUUUAAAAAGAUAGCUUUUAGCCCUUUUGAGAAAUAUUUGUUUAAAGUAUGAGCAGAAAUUC